ACGACAAAUAACUCUAUUCUUUAACAAAAAGAAUUGAAGGAAUGAACGGAACGUACAUAGUUUUGUGAAAGCAAUUGGAGGGCAAGUCUGGUGCCAGCAGCCGCGGUAAUUCCAGCUCCAAUAGUAUAUAUUAAAGUUGUUGUGAUUAAAAGGCUCGUAGUUGAAUGAAGAUACUAUUGAAAAGGCUUUUCUUUUUAUACAAAAAGAGAAGUUUAGUUAAACAAUAGAAGAAGGAAAUGGAUUACUUUGAAUAAAAUAGAGUGUUUAAAGCAAAACAAUGUUAAUGAAUAAUGAAGCAUGGGACAAUAAGAAGGAGAUUUGAAAGGAUUUCGAGAAGAA
rnacentral:rRNA from 1 species